rnacentral:rRNA from 1 species
AGAUUGAACGCUGGCGGCAGGCCUAACACAUGCAAGUCGAGCGGUAGAGAGGUGCUUGCAUCUCUUGAGAGCGGCGGACGGGUGAGUAAUGCCUAGGAAUCUGCCUAGUGGUGGGGGAUAACGUUCGGAAACGGACGCUAAUACCGCAUACGUCCUACGGGAGAAAGCGGGGGACCUUCGGGCCUCGCGCCAUUAGAUGAGCCUAGGUCGGAUUAGCUAGUUGGUGAGGUAAUGGCUCACCAAGGCGACGAUCCGUAACUGGUCUGAGAGGAUGAUCAGUCACACUGGAACUGAGACACGGUCCAGACUCCUACGGGAGGCAGCAGGUGGGGGAAUAGUUGGAACAAGU